ACAACGCGUCAUGGAAACAAACAAUAGAAAGUGUUGACUUGACAAAGCUAAACUUGGAUGCUCAAUUGAUCUCUUCAGCUCACAAACUUAGACAUUUAUAACGCCGUUGCCCACUGAAAUGCAGCUGGUGGCUCACUGAAAACCGAGGACUACAUUUCUGAAAAUGGACACCAGACGAGUGUAGCUCAGUUUCACAUUACAACAAAUGUCUGCGUGUUCUUAAUAGGUCAGUGGAUGUGUUCAGUUAAAAAAAAAGAAAGUUUAAGCUCAAUUGAAAAAUAUAAACUAAAUACAUGACAUUUGUAUUUGAAAUGAUAUCAUUAUUAGUUGGCUGAAACAUUUGUAGGAUGCACUUUGAAAAAAAAAAAAAAAAAAAAAACAGAUGCGUAGCAGUACCUUGCACCAAGUUGACACUAUCACGUUUCCACUGCUGGGCUAGGGCCGGGCCAGCGCCAACAGCGAGCCGAGCCGAACCAGUGGCCUCAAGCCUCUCGCUGCAUCCUGCGGUGGAGAUCCAACCCGGCCCCAUCCAAGUGUGACGUCAGAAGCUACCACGCCCAUGCCCAAAUUGGACACAUUCUCGUUAACAUUUAAAAACAGGAAGAACUAUCGAGAAGAGAAGACUAGAAGACGAAGGCAAUCAUAAAUGCCCUGUCUGUCUCCUGGCUGGGAUAUCUCCUCACAGGAGGCUGAGCAGGUCUUCCUUUCUGGAUUAUCAUUGCAGGUCAGAGUAGAUUAUUCAUUAUUUUUGCACAAUGCCCCGUGCACCCUUUUGUUACUGAUAAUUCUGUUACAGUAACACAACUGUGACUGUUCUCUGAUAACUAUUUCAGUGAAGUGGAAGAUUUUAACUGACAAAUUGACAAACAAUUGAGGAAAGAAAGGAGACCAUUCAAUUGUUGGCUGUUACUUUUACAUUUACACAUUUGGACUCUGGAAUUAGAUGUCAGUAACAUGAAUAUUCAAUUUGACUUUCUCUCUCUCUACAACUCCAACAUUUCAUAACUGUUUAGUGUUAAAUCUGAAAUAUAUAUUUGAACAUGUUAAACUCAUUUGUAUCUCUCUCUCUGUCUCUCUCUCUCUCAGAGUUGAAGCCAUUCCUGCAGCAACUGGUGGAAAACGGGGGAUCUUUUUGGUGCUUUUAUAAUUUAUCUAUUUAUCUAACAUAAAUAAUUUUGUUCUUUCGUAUAAUAUAAAUAAAUACAUAUGUAUAUAAAUAAAUUCAUGCUUGAAUCAUUCUCGAGUUUUGCCUUCUGAUAUUCUGGCCAUAUCAUUUAGUGACUGCAUGUGCUGAUUCCAUCGUUAUUUUAUCUGAUAAUGAGCAAAUUAGUUAAACUUGAGUAGGUUAAUCAAUAUACAGCAUAAUUCAAGAAACUAGGGCUCACACCACUUUUCAGUUGAAUAAGAUUGAUAUACAUUUUUAAUUUGUUUUGUAUAAAUUUACAUUUUUGUAAAUGUCUCUGAUGCAUUUUGAAUAAAAAAACACAUUUUAUAAAAAUACUCCUGAGAUUAAAUGUCUUUCGAACUAUGUACAUACAAACUAAAACAAGGGUCCUGUAACCGGGGUCCUAAAGCUGCAGCCUCCGAUUGUGCAGGGAUUUGCUCUGAACAACUGACAUUGGUUAUUUUAACAAAAAGUUAUCACACUUGCAUAAAUGGGUCAUUUUUUAACCAUAUGUGUAAACUUGAUGUAUUAACACAAAAUA